rnacentral:rRNA from 1 species
CCUACGGGAGGCAGCAGUGGGGAAUAUUGGGCAAUGGGCGCAAGCCUGACCCAGCGACGCCGCGUGAGGGAUGAAGGCCUUCGGGUUGUAAACCUCUUUCAGUAGGGAAGAAGCGAAAGUGACGGUACCUAAAGAAGAAGCACCGGCUAACUAUGUGCCAGCAGCCGCGGUAAUACAUAGGGUGCAAGCGUUGUCCGGAAUUAUUGGGCGUAAAGAGCUCGUAGGUCGUUUGCCGCGUCGAUUGUGAAAAUCUGAGGCUCAACCUCAGACCUGCAGUCGAUACGGGCAAACUAGAGUGUGGUAGGGGAGACUGGAAUUCCUGGUGUAGCGGUGGAAUGCGCAGAUAUCAGGAGGAACACCAAUGGCGAAGGCAUGUCUCUGGGCCAUAACUGACACUGAGGAGCGAAAGCGCGGGGAGCGAACAGGAUUAGAUACCCUGGUAG